AGUGAACGCUGGCGGCGUGCUUAACACAUGCAAGUCGAACGAGAACGGGUUAUAGCUUGCUAUAAUUGUCAGCUAAGUGGCGCACGGGUGAGUAAUGUAUAGGUAAUAUGCCUCUUACUAAGGGAUAACAAAUGGAAACGUUUGCUAAUACCUUAUACUCCUUAUUAACAUAAGUUAAUAAGGGAAAGAUUUAUUGGUAAGAGAUUAGCCUGUAUUGUAUCAGUUAGUUGGUGGGGUAAUGGCUUACCAAGACUAUGACACAUAACUGGUUUGAGAGGAUGAUCAGUCACACCGGAACUGAGACACGGUCCAGACUCCUACGGGAGGCAGCAGUGGGGAAUAUUGCACAAUGGACGAAAGUCUGAUGCAGCAACGCCGCGUGGAGGAUGACACAUUUCGGUGCGUAAACUCCUUUUAUAUGAGAAGAUAAUGACGGUAUUAUAUGAAUAAGCACCGGCUAACUCCGUGCCAGCCGCCGCCGCAG
rnacentral:rRNA from 1 species